ACGGAAGGCAGCAGUCGGGAAUAUUGCGCAAUGGAGGAAACUCUGACGCAGUGACGCCGCGUAUAGGAAGAAGGUUUUCGGAUUGUAAACUAUUGUCGUUAGGGAAGAAAAAAUGACAGUACCGAAGGAGGAAGCUCCGGCUAACUACGUGCCAGCAGCCGCGGUAAUACGUAGGGAGCAAGCGUUAUCCGGAUUUAUUGGGUGUAAAGGGUGCGUAGACGGAAAAGCAAGUUAGUUGUGAAAUCCCUCGGCUUAACUGAGGAACUGCAACUAAAACUACUUUCCUUGAGUGCAGGAGGGGAAAGCGGAAUUCCUAGUGUAGCGGUGAAAUGCGUAGAUAUUAGGAGGAACACCGGUGGCGAAGGCGGCUUUCUGGACUGUAACUGACGUUGAGGCACGAAAGUGUGGGGAGCAAACAGGAUUAGAUACCCUGGUA
rnacentral:rRNA from 1 species